rnacentral:rRNA from 1 species
UUUGAUCCUGGCUCAGAUUGAACGCUGGCGGCAUGCUUUACACAUGCAAGUCGAACGGCAGCGCGGGGUAACCUGGCGGCGAGUGGCGAACGGGUGAGUAAUAUAUCGGAACGUACCCAAGAGUGGGGGAUAACGUAGCGAAAGUUACGCUAAUACCGCAUACGAUCUAAGGAUGAAAGUGGGGGAUCGCAAGACCUCAUGCUCCUGGAGCGGCCGAUAUCUGAUUAGCUAGUUGGUGAGGUAAAGGCUCACCAAGGCGACGAUCAGUAGCUGGUCUGAGAGGACGACCAGCCACACUGGGACUGAGACACGGCCCAGACUCCUACGGGAGGCAGCAGUGGGGAAUUUUGGACAAUGGGCGCAAGCCUGAUCCAGCAAUGCCGCGUGAGUGAAGAAGGCCUUCGGGUUGUAAAGCUCUUUUGUCAGGGAAGAAACGGUCGGGGCUAAUAUCCUCGGCUAAUGACGGUACCUGAAGAAUAAGCACCGGCUAACUACGUG